GAAGCAAUCAAGAAGCUGUUGGUUCUUCAGGGAAAAAGAUGAGUGAAAACAUAUGCAGAACUUCCACACAAGAGAUGGAGAAUCCAUCCAAGAAGCAUGAUUCUGCCGAAAAUAGACGGAAGGAAAUUCGGACCAUCUCCGGAAGACAUGCCGUGUGUCUUCACGAUAGGAGAUGGUCCGAAUGGGAGGCGAGUAGAAGGCAUUCUGUACAAGUACGGUAAGGGCGAGGAAGUGAGGAUAAUGUGUGUAUGCCAUGGCAGCUUUCUCUCCCCAGCUGAGUUU
rnacentral:misc_RNA from 1 species